AUUUUAUAUGUAGUACAUUAUUUGUGUGAGUUGCAUGUUUAACUUAUUUGGCAUAAUCUCAGCUAGUUCGGCAAACCUGGGCCACUCCUUGCUUGGUGUACUCCCAUUUUUGCAUCCUCCACCAUUUAUGUUAGUUGUUGGGCUGGUUGCAUUUAUUUUCUGCACCCCUAUAAUAAAAUCUGUUGGUUGUACUGUGUUUCUGGGCAUUUUGAUUGUCAGUUCGCACACCCCUGUUUGUGUACGUUGUUAUUGGGCUGGAUCGCGGUCUCAUUUGCUGCACCUCUCUACCUUAAUGCGUUGUUAGAUUUAUACUGUUUGUCUCCCGCGUAUUUACUUAUUGCAGUCAAUUUUAUUUUCUUUGUUUUUUUAAGGUUUAAUAGGUUCGGAGGUCCC
rnacentral:lncRNA from 1 species